AAGGCCAAUCUCUUUGCCAUUUGGCUUAGAUCAAGUGUAGUAUCUGUUCUUUUCAGUGUAACAACUGAAAUGACCUCAAGAAGGUUCAUUACCUUUGUUACAGAGCCUUUUUUUGGAAUUCCUUGCCCAUUUUUUUAA